rnacentral:rRNA from 1 species
GGCCGCAGUAACCUGACUGCUGCUAAGGUAGCAAAAUCAUUAGUCUUUUACUUGAAGGCCACUAUAAAAGAUUUGACAUAGAGUCCUCUGUCUCAAGACUAAAUAGUGGAACUUUAUAUUAGGGUAAAAAAGCCCUAUACUAUUAAAAAGACGAUAAGACCCUAAAAUCUGCUUUAAUAGAUUAACCUUUAUUAGAUUAAAUAUAUUUAAUAUUAAGUAUACUGGGGCGGUAAAUAUUAUCAUAAACUAUAAUAACUUUAACACAUUGAGUGAUUUAUUGUACCCUAAAUGAAUAUAAUAAGAUACUUUAGGGAUAACAGCAUAAUAUAUUUUUAUAGUUCAUAUUGACAAAUAUGAUUAUGACCUCGAUGUUGAAUUGAAUUAACUAUAUUUAGAAGAAUAAAUAUAAGUAAGUCUGUUCGACUUUUAAUAUUUCACAUGAUUUGAGUUCAAACCCGG